GGAACUCUGAAGGAUGGCUGCUGAUUUGAGCUUCAAUCCAAGUUUUUAAGACCGUGUUUAAAAUCUUAAACGUUGCCUUUAAAAUUCAAGAGUGUUGUAAACUGUUUCUUUAAUCUCAUAUUAAUGCUUUUAACAGUGAAUCAUGGUCACACAUGCAUGAACUCUGUCUCUGCAGGCUUCGACAGGUGUUGUGUAUCCCAAUUAGAAAAGUCAGGAAACUCUGUUUGACCCUCAUCAGCCACCAUACAUUACAGUCAGCCCGUGUGCUCGUCAUGUGGCUGUGCUGCUGCUGUUGCUUUGAGUAGUGUUCUCAUUUAUUGUGACCUUCUGCACAAAACACAGACUUGUUAAGACACGUCGAGAUGCUAUAUACAGAAAUAAGUGAGGAAGCGGACUUAACUUGAAGCUUGGGAUCAACAUCAACCAGCACCUGAGUCUGGAACGGAUUGUUUUCCUGUUUACAAAGGAGCCCGUGGAGAGGCUCCAGACUGUCCUCCAAAACAUGCAAGCCUGGUUACAAUCACCUCCUGACUCAUAACAAGGCAGCAUCUAGCGGCAAAGAGCAACAUGAAGGAGGAGUGGAGCGCGAGGGGAGGGGCCGUCCAAGGCGUUCCAGGCACCGAUCAAGUCCGGGCGUGAGAUGGCGGACGGAGGAGGAGGUGCAGCGGAGGGAAAAGGUGGAUUUAUUAGCCACAAUUAACAUCAAGCUAUUGUAUAAGGCUCCUGUGGACAAUAUCAAAGGGGCUUGCUGAGCAGAACAAGCAGUCUGGUUUCAUUAAAAAGGGCCUUGGUGGUGUCGGAGGGAGACAAAGGUGACACCCGUCACGAGGAAGGAUAUCCUCAAUGAGCCCACCAACGCUCAGUGUGCUCAGGGCGAGAGGCCUGCAGCCUCCCCCUCCUCACUGGAGCAACUCUGCUGUCGGUGCUGCGCCAAGACUGCAGAGCUGCACCCGGUCAUGGAUCCGCCUCAUGAUGGGAUAUGAAUAUGUAUGCAGGUUAACUGAUGUGCUAGACUCUAAUUGCGAUGGGAGGGGAAAGAGCCUGAAGUGCAAUGCUUCAUGGGAGCUGCUCCCCCCGUCUCGGUAUAUAACAUAUGAGUCCAUAGCAACAUAAGAGCGGGACACUCAAGGCGGUCUUUUUCUCUCAGUCCAUUUCUUUUUUUAAUCUGGCUUUUUGUUGGUGCUUUCUUUUCACCCUCUUCAUUCUGAUAGCAGCAGACUCAUUUUGCCGGCAUUGAUCUAAUUAUAUUUGUUGCAGCUUUUGUUGUCCCAUAAUUUAUGCCUCCUUGCCACUGCCAAUUAGUUUUAAACCAAAUGUGAUUAUGAAGAAUAAAUGCUAGCGUUCGGCUCCACUAGAGGGUGGCACAUCAGUUUACCUAAGGCAAGGCUUUUCAAACUUGGGGGAGAAAAGCAGAAUGAAGCUAAUUUUAAGGGAUGUGCUUUUAAUUUUGAGGGGUUUGCGUAAGCACAGUGGAGCAUUUCAGAUUAAACUCCCCCCUCCCCGCCCCGAAAUAAAGUGGCAACCAUGAAAUCGUUUUAAUUAGGCCAGCUGACAAUCCAAACACUCUGGACCUCUCUGAAUGGAGAUGAAAACAAACCAUUCACCUUUGCAUUCAUUAAACUCUAACAUAUACAGCUGGAAAGCAUCAGAUUCCUUUGGAUCUAUUCACAGUUUUAAAUUACGGUUCAUUUAAAGGAAGCCAGUGGGGAGCUUCAGAAUAAAAGCCCUCAGCAGCAGAAGGCUGGUGCUUAAACAACAGACAUGUUGUGAAGGUCAGGUUGUUACUGAUGUUUGGACAGAGUGACAGCUGCCACUUUUUGAGCAAAGGUCAGUCAGUCGGCUCGCAGCUCUUACAUAUCACCGGUAAUAAUUGCAGGCGUGCGCACACAUUGAUAUGCACGUUUGCCCACCAAAUGUUCCGAGCCUUUUUGUCUUGAGAGAGGUUCAUUAAGACGAUCUGUGUGGAAAUCACGGCAAUUCUUACUUACAGCUGUUAAGUCCAAAGCUGACAUCAUUCCACUGAUGUUCAACAAAUUCCAAAUUUCACUCCCAGCACUUGUGCACACAAUGUGUUACAUUUAAACUCGACAAUCCAAUUUUCAUUUCCGUCUUCAAAUGUUUGCGAACCACAUCAUCACUGCCGACGCGACAAAGGAAAUGCUGUUGACACAUCUCCUGCCUCUCUGUGUGUCAAUACGGAAGGAGGACACAAAUGUCAGUAUUAAUCUGUAUUAAUCACAGGCGUUAAUAAUGUAAUGUCGAGUAUGAAGAGCGCUGUGAGGGCCUUCCAAAUCACUCAGGACAUCUGACUUUCAGGAUCAGUGUCAGGAUGCUCGAAAAUCAAUCAGAAAACAAUCAGAGCCAUUGAUUAAAGGGUGAUUUUUUGAUUUUAGCUUUCUACCCUGCUCACCAAGCCUAAAAGUGUUUAUUAUUUAACCAACUUAAAUAUGAAUGCACUAUAGUCAGCACGUGUACAAUGAUGCAGAAUGUAUAGAAUGAAAUGUUGGCAUUUUAGCUGUGAUGGCUGCCGAACCUGAGACCACAGUAUAAGACUGUUGAGACAUGGCUGUUUUUAACAAAACGUCCGGGUGUUUCCAGGUUAGUUUGGGGCAGCAGAGUGGAUAUUAAUGAGGAGACGUCGGGAACGUUUGCAGUUGUGUUUGUGGAACCAAAUCCAACAUAUACAUACAUAUAAGUGUUUUUUUGUGAUGGACAGUAAGCACAGCAUUGUAACAUAAAACUGAAAAUGAAACCUAAAGAUAUGUUAAGAAGGUACUGGCACAUCCAUGGUUUGCAGACACAUACAGCUGCUCUCUUUGUCGUAGUUGUCGAAAUAGAAACUUUAAGUUUGAUUCAGUUUGACAAUUGCAAUCUGCUUUGACAUCUAAUUUAUUAGUAAGAUUGGUCUUUUUGGUGCAGUGAUACAGUUUAAUUUGUCACAUAUUUCAAGCGAUCACUCUGCAGAUAUAGGUUAUAUUGUAUAAGUGAUGAAAAGGACAUUAAACUAUCACACAGUUCUUCACCAUGAAUGGAGAUGGUGAAUAAAAUGGCCGACUGCUGUUCAACAAAUACUGAGGAAAACGAAGUCGCAAGUUUUUGUCUUAUGUUUGUAAUGAAUAUGUUUAGAUACCAGCAUGUAAAUGCAAGGGUUGCAGCCGUAACACUGAUGGCCUUUUAAUAAACACUGCGUUA